AGGUCACUUCCAAGAGGGAUUUGGGAACUAAAACCAAGAGCUCUUAACUCUAUAACCAAAUAGUGAUGUUUUCCAUAGGAUAUAAUAGUUACUCAGUAGUGCUAUGGUUUCCUGAGGAGACAUAAGA